UACGUAGGGGGCGAGCGUUGUCCGGAUUCAUUGGGCGUAAAGAGCUCGUAGGCGGUUUGGCAAGUCGGGUGUGAAAUCUCUGGGCUCAACUCAGAGAGGCCACUCGAUACUGCUAUGACUAGAGUCCGGUAGGGGACCAUGGAAUUCCUGGUGUAGCGGUGAAAUGCGCAGAUAUCAGGAGGAACACCGGUGGCGAAGGCGGUGGUCUGGGCCGGCACUGACGCUGAGAAGCGAAAGCGUGGGGAGCGAACAGG
rnacentral:rRNA from 1 species